rnacentral:rRNA from 1 species
UUGGGUUAAGUCCCGCCAAGCGAGAGCAACCCUCGUCCAUACGUUGCCAUUCAGGUAAGUGNUGGGGAGCUNUAUGGAGACUGCCGGUGACAAGCCGGAGGAAGGUGGGGAUGACGUCAAGUCACUCAUGGCCCUUACAUCCCAGGGCUACACACGUACUACAAUGGCCGGUACAGAAGGAAGCAAGACCGCGAGGUGGAGCCAAUCCCCAAAACCGGUCNUCAUGAUUGGAGUCUGCAANUCGACUCCAUGAAGGAGGAAUCGUUAGUAAUCGCUGAUCAGCAGCAGCGGUG